GUGCCAGCAGCCGCGGUAAUACGUAGGGUGCAAGCGUUGUCCGGAAUCAUUGGGCGUAAAGCGCGCGUAGGUGGUCAUGUAAGUCCGCUGUGAAAGUCAAAGGCUCAACCUUUGAAAGCCGGUGGAUACUGCAUGACUAGAGUACGGAAGAGGCGAGUGGAAUUCCUGGUGUAGCGGUGGAAUGCGCAGAUAUCAGGAGGAACACCAAUAGCGAAGGCAGCUCGCUGGGACGUUACUGACACUGAGGCGCGAAAGCGUGGGGAGCGAACAGGAUUAGAUACCCUAGUAGUCC
rnacentral:rRNA from 1 species